UGCAAAAAUUUAUAAUUAAAAUUUUUGAAAAUAUAACAGUCAACGCUAAUUAUCCAAUCCAACUGUUUUGAUAAUCUGUGCUAUAAAAGUUGUUUGACUCAUCAUCUAGAUAAAAUUAAGGCAGCAUAAAGCUACUCUAUAUGUCUAGGUGGACUUGUUCUUGUAUAGACAUUAUUUAUGUAAACAUUCAGUUAGUACAAUUAUAUCUAUUUUUGAAAUGAAGCACUUAUUUUGUUCCAUAUAAUCACAAAUAGAAUCUGAAAUAAUACUUAUGGUGAUUUCUGUUACGGUUUGAAGUAACUCUGCCCUCUUUCACAUUAAAUAUUAUUGUUUGAAACGGAAGAAAUAAGCAAAUUAUGGCUAUAUUAUUAAUUGCACACAGUUAGUUUUCGCAUACUUACACUGUCUUUCCAUGUUGUGAUAUCCGAUGGAAUUGUAAUGAUUCCAGAAGAUUCUUUUACUAGGUUUCUUUGUGUUGCUACAAACUUGUAACAAAUAGCCACAAUCCCAUCUACAAUUGUUCUAUUGGUGUCAAUUGUCUUCUUUUAUUUACCCGUUUUCUUCAGGCUCCAUUUUACUUAACUUUCUCAUUUAACCAUGCAGCAAUAUUAGUUUUAUAUAUAUAUGUAUAUAUAUAUAUAUAUAUACAUACAUUCGCUACAUUGGAAAUCUGCAAUGGCUCCAUGACUACUGUCUUGGAUACAACCUUGGAGCCCUAGUAAUCCAUUACAGCACUUAUCUAACAGACCUAAUUAUUUAGAUCACCUAUGAACUAAACUUCCAUACUUUAUAUAUGUGUGUGUGU